GCAAAAAAGAGGAGACCAGAAUCUGAAUGCAGGUCAGUGCCACUUGGGCGCAGCCAGGCCGGAGGUGGGAGGGCCUGGGGGUGGGAGAGAGCCCCAGGCUCCCCUCCAGAGGCAGAAGGCGCGGUGCCUCGGGGCAGGGACCAUUUCCAGCUGCGCCCAUCCCCUCGCCAGCUCACUAGGGCCCCCCUGUGUCCACAGCUGUGGGAGCUCCUCACCCCUGCGCAAGAAGAAGAAGAGUGUGAAGAAGCACCGCCGAGACAGGUCUAACUCUGGGUCCAGGAGGAAGAGGCGGCACAGCCUCCGUUGGGGGAACCCCUAGAACUUCAGACAACUCGGCAGGUUCAGGUUCAAGGGCGUCUGUGGAGGAGUCGGCUGAGGAGGAGGAAGCAUCAGACCCUGAAUUUGCAGGGCCAAGGCAGGAGGACCUUGUGAGCUGGGAGGCUCCGUGGGUAGCACACAGGGUGGGCUCGGGCUAGCGGUGGAGUUUUGGUGGGUGGGAACAGGUGCCAGCCCCCACAGCCCUGACUGCCAGGCCUUGGAGCUGGCCUCCACCCAGGCAGGGCUGGGAGCCAGCAUGGAACUCCAAGCAGGACAGUGACUUGCUCUGGGAGACUGGGGGAGGGAAGAGUCAGGAGCCCAGGUCAAGAAAACAGAGGCUGAGGGGUAAAAAGUUAAACAGAGGAGGUUGUGGGUCGUGACCCUAACCUUGGCAUCAGGGCCAGAGUCCUCCCAGCAGCCCUGAGGAGGGGCAGAGUCAGCAGUAUUUUACCUAUCAUGGGAACCAGCCCUGCCAAUACUCCCCUGUCCCAACCCUACCACCACCACCACAACCUUCUCAGGCCUAUGGGCUCCUGCUGCCCCCUAGUGGCCACCAUCAGCAUGCA
rnacentral:lncRNA from 1 species